GGGUAUAGAAAGUUGAUAUUUAUUCAAUAAGUUAUGAAAUAUAGAUACUGACUUUUAAUCAGUGGGUCACAGGUUCAAAUCCUGUACGGCUCACCA
rnacentral:tRNA from 1 species